ensembl:lncRNA
CCUGUGGUCCUUUCUCUCAAACAAAUUUGGUCCUUCGAGCCGGAUACCAGUGCUUACCUUGGUUAAAGAUGGCUACUUCUAAAGACAAGAGUGAAGCCCUUCCAGAAUCUGUGCGGCCGAGACGUCAAGUCCGACUGCCAGCCUAUUUGUCAGACUACCAAGUAAAUGUAACCAGCCACAGAGAACUGGCUUCCUCUUAUACAGCAGAUACUGCAGCACAGACUACAUUUAGACGAGAAGAGGAGUGCAGUGCAGAGAGUGAUGGAACUGCUAGGAAGAUGUCUCCAGCUGGUUCAGCAUCGGUCAGACCUGGAAGUCAGUAUUCGACAAGAGAUGAGUGGGGAACCUUUUAUGCUGAAUUAGAGGACAUUCAAGCUCAGCUUGGCCAGGACACCCAGCUCAUACGGAGUUUACGAGAUAGAGUGCGCCAGCAUGUAUUAACCAAAUGCUGUGGGGGGGAAAUCCCACAUGCAGAUACACGCCCAUUACUGAGAGAUGACAGAGUUUCUUCGCCUGCAACCAGGCAGCCCCUGGCUCACUUAUCCUCACCAGCCUCCUUCUCAGCCUCAUCCCAAGUCUCAUCACUCCAGUCCCAAGUAUCAGCUGUGUCCUCAGGCGAGUCCCAUUCAGUUACCCACCUAACACCACAGAGACUCAGAACAACAUUGGAAGUAAAUCCACCUCCUCAGGAGGACGAGUCAUGGCCUGAACCACCACCUUCUGUAUGUGAUGAUGCACCAUACAGAGCUAGGGAAGAGCGUGAAUUCCCAGUCAGUUAUGCUACUUUUAUCAGUUACUCAAACCCAGUGGAAUUAGCUGUGGAGAGAGCAGUAGCACAGCCCUACUAUGCACAUUAUGUUCCAGCCUGUGUAAACUCAUUCCAGAAUCCGUCACUCAGACCUGACCGAGGGGAUAUAAGAACUAACCCCAUUUCACAAGAUACACAGUGUCAGAGCAGUUCAUUGUAUCCUUCCCUCGCACGCCCUCCAACUCAAGCUCCAUAUUCAAGGCCCUAUUCUACACCCUGGCUGAAUGUUGCUCCACCAGCUCAGCAACAAUUUAUGUAUGCUCCACGAUCAGUGCAACAGACUGAACCAUGGCUUAAACACUCAGAAAUGCCAUACAGCCAGCCACAGCCAUCGCCUUAUGAAACCUUUCCCACAUCACUGCUAGUACAGGAGAAAGUCUAUCUAGGCCCUAAGCCACGAAUCCCCAUGCUGGUUCAUCGAGAUCCUGCAGAAUUCGCCAGGUUGAAGAUGUCAUUGGAGAAUCUACUGCCAGCUGAUACCACCGAGCUCUUUAAGUACCAGAUAUUGGUUGACCAUCUCAAAUUAGAGGAAGCCUCCCUUAUUGCUGACUCUUAUCUGAACUCUGCCACCCCAUACUCUGACACAAUGACAGCCUUAAACGAGAGGUUUGGUCAACCGCAUCAGUUAGCCCUCAAAAGAAUUGCCCAAGUCAUGGAUGCUCCCGACAUUAAGCGAGGGGAUCAUGAGGCAUUUCAGAGGUUUGCACUCCAGAUCAGAGCUCUUGUGGGGAUGUUGGAAACCCUUGGUGUAGAGGGAGAAGUGGAGUUGAAAUGUGGUUCCCAUGUUGCCAGACUGCUUGGCAAACUACCUCCAGAGUUGCGUGCAGACUUCCGCCGACACCUGUAUUAUCAGUCCGAUUCAGUUUAUACAUUACCUGAAUUCUCUAAGUGGCUCCAGUACGAAGCAUGGUGUCAGGGCCAUACCGAACCAGUCACCAAAGGAAAUCCUGAGUGCCGAACCAAACCAGCCCGCCUAACCAGACCAGCCACGGUCCUCCAUGGUGCCAAAGCUGCCUCACAGAUAAAGGGCCCAGAUCCAGGAACUAAAAUAUCCACCUCAAGUAGGAAAAGAGGUAAAGUGCUACCUUAUUGUCCAUAUUGUGAAAGCUCUGAACAUUUCUUAAGUCAGUGCGCUACUUUCCAGACUUUCACUCCUGAGCAGAUCCGUACCUGGAUUACUGAUAACAAGAGGUGCAUAAAAUGUGGUAGAUCUCAUGCUGUUACAGAUUGCACUCUUAAGAAACCAUGCAGCAUUUGUCAAAACAAACACCUUCAGAUACUGCAUGAAGUCAAUUCCAAGGCAGGUAAAGAGGGCAUAUGCAUGUUGAGCUCUGCAGUUGGCACUGCUUACUUGAAUCGUCCAACAGACUGCAGCCGGGUAUUACUGAAAGUGGUGAAAGUACGUCUGCAGUAUCGUGAACGAGCUCUGGAGACUUAUGCUGUCCUCGACGAUGGCUCUGAGAGGACUAUUCUUCUAUGUGAAGCAGCAGAUAAGCUCGGCUUGCGUGGAAUCCCUGAGGAACUGGCAUUGAGAACAAUCAGGCAAGAAACCCAAGUACUUCAAGGAGCCUCUGUCUCUUUCAGUGUUUCCUCUGCCUCACAGCCUAAACGGAAUUACCACAUUAGUGGUGCAUUCACUGCUCAGAAUCUGGGACUGGCUGAUCAUUCCUACCCACUAGCCACCUUACAGAAAAGGUACCGGCACCUCAGAGGCUUGCCACUUGAGCCAUUCGAUAGAGUAUCUCCUCUCCUUCUCAUUGGAGCCGAUCAACCUCAUCUGAUAACGCCAACAGAACCAGUGCGUCUGGGACCACCAGGAGGACCUGUUGCUAUACGGACCAGAUUAGGGUGGACACUACAAGGCCCAGCCAGAGGUCUACCACACCAUCCUAGAUCUCAGAACUGUUACCUGACCUCAGUAAACCCUGAAACAGCUGAACUUCUGAGAAAUGUGGAGAAGUUGUGGCAGGUGGACACGCUACCAUUCAAAUCAGAGAAACAGGUAACUCGAUCACGAGAGGAUCAAGAGGCACUCUCACUGCUGGAAAGUAAAACCAUCCGUGUUGAGCAUAACAAGGUCCAGCACUAUGCAACCCCUUUGCUACGGAAGAGAAAUACUUUCCCUUUUCACGCGACUAGAGAUGCUGUCAUGCCAAGUCUCCGAGGUACAGAGAAACGACUCGCUAAAGAUGAAGACAAAGCCUCAGCAUACAUAACAGAAAUUAGUAAACUUGAACUGGCAGGCUCAGUACGCAAGCUGACCGAGGAAGAGGUUGCACAGAGUGAGGAAUCAUGGUUCAUUCCUCAUCAUUUAGUACAUCAUAAUGGGAAGAACCGCCUAGUAUUCAAUUGUUCUUACCAAUUCCAGGGCCGCAACCUCAACGAAUCUCUUCUUCCUGGGCCAACCCUUGGUCCGUCACUCCUGGGGGUGCUGCUUCGGUUUCGCGAGCAUGCCAUCGCAAUAAGUGGAGACAUAAAGGCCAUGUUCCACCAGGUCUGCCUCCUGCCUGAGGACAAGUCCCUUCUUCGGUUUGUGUGGCGAAACCUCUGCCGUGAUGUGCCUCCUGUGGUGUAUGAGUGGCAGGUCCUGCCAUUUGGCACCACAUGUUCUCCUUGUUGUGCCACCUUUGCCCUCCAAAAACAUGUGCACGAUCACAGCAAUGAGGAAGAUGAUGUCAGGAAUUCAGUAGAUAGGUGUUUCUAUGUAGACAACUGUCUACAGAGUCUACCGUCAAAAGCUGAAGCCAAAGAAUUACUUGACAAAUUGCGAGUCCUGUUGGCAUCAGGGGGCUUUGAGAUCCGCCAGUGGGCUAGUAAUGCCCCCGAAAUUAUCAGCCAUCUUCCUCAAGAAGCUCGCUCAGAUAAUGCUGAACUGUGGCUCACCCAAAACUCUGCUGAUAUUCAAGAGUCUACAUUAGGACUAAGGUGGCACUGCCCUACAGAUACCAUCG